rnacentral:rRNA from 1 species
GACGAACGCUGGCGGCGUGCUUAACACAUGCAAGUCGAACGGAAAGGCCCUGCUUUUGUGGGGUGCUCGAGUGGCGAACGGGUGAGUAACACGUGAGUAACCUGCCCUUGACUUUGGGAUAACUUCUGGAAACUGGGGCGAAUACCGGAUAGGAGCUCCUGCUCCAUGGUGUGGGUUGGAAAGUUUCGGCGGUGGGGGAUGGACUGGAGGCUUAUCAGCUUGUUGGGGGGGUAGUGGCUUACCAAGGCUUUGACGGGUAGCCGGCCUGGGAGGGGUACCGGCGACAUUGGGACUGAGAUACGGACCAGACGCGUACGGGCGGCAGCAGUGGGGAAUAUUGCACAAUGGGGGGAAGCCUGAUGCAGCAACGCCGGGUGCGGGAUGACGGCCUUCGGGUUGUAAACCGCUUUCGAAGGUGACGAAGCGUGAGUGACGGUAAUGGGUAAAGAAGCAACGGCUAACUACGUG